rnacentral:rRNA from 1 species
GGUUAAGCGACUAAGCGUACACGGUGGAUGCCCUGGCAGUCAGAGGCGAUGAAGGACGUGCUAAUCUGCGAUAAGCGUCGGUGAGGUGAUAUGAACCGUUAUAACCGGCGAUUUCCGAAUGGGGAAACCCAGUGUGUUUCGACACACUAUCAUUAACUGAAUCCAUAGGUUAAUGAGGCGAACCGGGGGAACUGAAACAUCUAAGUACCCCGAGGAAAAGAAAUCAACCGAGAUUCCCCCAGUAGCGGCGAGCGAACGGGGAGGAGCCCAGAGCCUGAAUCAGUGUGUGUGUUAGUGGAAGCGUCUGGAAAGGCGUGCGAUACAGGGUGACAGCCCCGUACACAAAAAUGCACAUAUUGUGAGCUCGAUGAGUAGGGCGGGACACGUGGUAUCCUGUCUGAAUAUGGGGGGACCAUCCUCCAAGGCUAAAUACUCCUGACUGACCGAUAGUGAACCAGUACCGUGAGGGAAAGGCGAAAAGAACCCCGGCGAGGGGAGUGAAAAAGAACCUGAAACCGUGUACGUACAAGCAGUGGGAGCCUCUUUAUGGGGUGACUGCGUACCUUUUGUAUAAUGGGUCAGCGACUUAUAUUCUGUAGCAAGGUUAACCGAAUAGGGGAGCCGAAGGGAAACCGAGUCUUAACUGGGCGUUAAGUUGCAGGGUAUAGACCCGAAACCCGGUGAUCUAGCCAUGGGCAGGUUGAAGGUUGGGUAACACUAACUGGAGGACCGAACCGACUAAUGUUGAAAAAUUAGCGGAUGACUUGUGGCUGGGGGUGAAAGGCCAAUCAAACCGGGAGAUAGCUGGUUCUCCCCGAAAGCUAUUUAGGUAGCGCCUCGUGAAUUCAUCUCCGGGGGUAGAGCACUGUUUCGGCAAGGGGGUCAUCCCGACUUACCAACCCGAUGCAAACUGCGAAUACCGGAGAAUGUUAUCACGGGAGACACACGGCGGGUGCUAACGUCCGUCGUGAAGAGGGAAACAACCCAGACCGCCAGCUAAGGUCCCAAAGUCAUGGUUAAGUGGGAAACGAUGUGGGAAGGCCCAGACAGCCAGGAUGUUGGCUUAGAAGCAGCCAUCAUUUAAAGAAAGCGUAAUAGCUCACUGGUCGAGUCGGCCUGCGCGGAAGAUGUAACGGGGCUAAACCAUGCACCGAAGCUGCGGCAGCGACGCUUAUGCGUUGUUGGGUAGGGGAGCGUUCUGUAAGCCUGUGAAGGUGUGCUGUGAGGCAUGCUGGAGGUAUCAGAAGUGCGAAUGCUGACAUAAGUAACGAUAAAGCGGGUGAAAAGCCCGCUCGCCGGAAGACCAAGGGUUCCUGUCCAACGUUAAUCGGGGCAGGGUGAGUCGACCCCUAAGGCGAGGCCGAAAGGCGUAGUCGAUGGGAAACAGGUUAAUAUUCCUGUACUUGGUGUUACUGCGAAGGGGGGACGGAGAAGGCUAUGUUGGCCGGGCGACGGUUGUCCCGGUUUAAGCGUGUAGGCUGAUUUUCCAGGCAAAUCCGGAAAAUCAAGGCUGAGGCGUGAUGACGAGGCACUACGGUGCUGAAGCAACAAAUGCCCUGCUUCCAGGAAAAGCCUCUAAGCAUCAGGUAACAUCAAAUCGUACCCCAAACCGACACAGGUGGUCAGGUAGAGAAUACCAAGGCGCUUGAGAGAACUCGGGUGAAGGAACUAGGCAAAAUGGUGCCGUAACUUCGGGAGAAGGCACGCUGAUAUGUAGGUGAAGCGACUUGCUCGUGGAGCUGAAAUCAGUCGAAGAUACCAGCUGGCUGCAACUGUUUAUUAAAAACACAGCACUGUGCAAACACGAAAGUGGACGUAUACGGUGUGACGCCUGCCCGGUGCCGGAAGGUUAAUUGAUGGGGUUAGCGGCAACGCGAAGCUCUUGAUCGAAGCCCCGGUAAACGGCGGCCGUAACUAUAACGGUCCUAAGGUAGCGAAAUUCCUUGUCGGGUAAGUUCCGACCUGCACGAAUGGCGUAAUGAUGGCCAGGCUGUCUCCACCCGAGACUCAGUGAAAUUGAACUCGCUGUGAAGAUGCAGUGUACCCGCGGCAAGACGGAAAGACCCCGUGAACCUUUACUAUAGCUUGACACUGAACAUUGAGCCUUGAUGUGUAGGAUAGGUGGGAGGCUUUGAAGUGUGGACGCCAGUCUGCAUGGAGCCGACCUUGAAAUACCACCCUUUAAUGUUUGAUGUUCUAACGUUGGCCCGUAAUCCGGGUUGCGGACAGUGUCUGGUGGGUAGUUUGACUGGGGCGGUCUCCUCCUAAAGAGUAACGGAGGAGCACGAAGGUUGGCUAAUCCUGGUCGGACAUCAGGAGGUUAGUGCAAUGGCAUAAGCCAGCUUGACUGCGAGCGUGACGGCGCGAGCAGGUGCGAAAGCAGGUCAUAGUGAUCCGGUGGUUCUGAAUGGAAGGGCCAUCGCUCAACGGAUAAAAGGUACUCCGGGGAUAACAGGCUGAUACCGCCCAAGAGUUCAUAUCGACGGCGGUGUUUGGCACCUCGAUGUCGGCUCAUCACAUCCUGGGGCUGAAGUAGGUCCCAAGGGUAUGGCUGUUCGCCAUUUAAAGUGGUACGCGAGCUGGGUUUAGAACGUCGUGAGACAGUUCGGUCCCUAUCUGCCGUGGGCGCUGGAGAACUGAGGGGGGCUGCUCCUAGUACGAGAGGACCGGAGUGGACGCAUCACUGGUGUUCGGGUUGUCAUGCCAAUGGCACUGCCCGGUAGCUAAAUGCGGAAGAGAUAAGUGCUGAAAGCAUCUAAGCACGAAACUUGCCCCGAGAUGAGUUCUCCCUGACUCCUUGAGAGUCCUGAAGGAACGUUGAAGACGACGACGUUGAUAGGCCGGGUGUGUAAGCGCAGCGAUGCGUUGAGCUAACCGGUACUAAUGAACCGUGAGGCUUAACCUU